rnacentral:rRNA from 2 species
CUCAGGCGUUGUUGGGUAGGGGAGCGUUCUGUAAGCCUGUGAAGGUGGCCUGUGAGGGUUGCUGGAGGUAUCAGAAGUGCGAAUGCUGACAUAAGUAACGAUAAAGCGGGUGAAAAGCCCGCUCGCCGGAAGACCAAGGGUUCCUGUCCAACGUUAAUCGGGGCAGGGUGAGUCGACCCCUAAGGCGAGGCCGAAAGGCGUAGUCGAUGGGAAACGGGUUAAUAUUCCCGUACUUGGUGUUACUGCGAAGGGGGGACGGAGAAGGCUAUGUUGGCCGGGCGACGGUUGUCCCGGUUUAAGCGUGUAGGUGUGUGUUCCAGGUAAAUCCGGUUCACUUUAACACUGAGGCGUGACGACGAGGCACUACGGUGCUGAAGCAACAAAUGCCCUGCUUCCAGGAAAAGCCUCUAAGCAUCAGGUAACAUCAAAUCGUACCCCAAACCGACACAGGUGGUCAGGUAGAGAAUACCAAGGCGCUUGAGAGAACUCGGGUGAAGGAACUAGGCAAAAUGGUGCCGUAACUUCGGGAGAAGGCACGCUGACACGUAGGUGAAGUGAUUUACUCAUGGAGCUGAAGUCAGUCGAAGAUACCAGCUGGCUGCAACUGUUUAUUAAAAACACAGCACUGUGCAAACACGAAAGUGGACGUAUACGGUGUGACGCCUGCCCGGUGCCGGAAGGUUAAUUGAUGGGGUCAGCGCAAGCGAAGCUCCUGAU